rnacentral:rRNA from 1 species
UACGAAGGGGGCUAGCGUUGCUCGGAAUCACUGGGCGUAAAGCGCACGUAGGCGGAUUGUUAAGUCAGGGGUGAAAUCCUGGAGCUCAACUCCAGAACUGCCUUUGAUACUGGCGAUCUCGAGUCCGGGAGAGGUGAGUGGAACUGCGAGUGUAGAGGUGAAAUUCGUAGAUAUUCGCAAGAACACCAGUGGCGAAGGCGGCUCACUGGCCCGAUACUGACGCUGAGGAGCGAAAGCAUGGGGAGCGAACAGG